rnacentral:rRNA from 1 species
GACGAACGCUGGCGGCGUGCUUAACACAUGCAAGUCGAACGGAAAGGCCCUGCUUUUGUGGGGUGCUCGAGUGGCGAACGGGUGAGUAACACGUGAGUAACCUGCCCUUGACUUUGGGAUAACUUCAGGAAACUGGGGCUAAUACCGGAUAGGAGCUCCUGCUGCAUGGUGGGGGUUGGAAAGUUUCGGCGGUUGGGGAUGGACUCGCGGCUUAUCAGCUUGUUGGUGGGGUAGUGGCUUACCAAGGCUUUGACGGGUAGCCGGCCUGAGAGGGCGACCGGCCACAUUGGGACUGAGAUACGGCCCAGACUCCUACGGGAGGCAGCAGUGGGGAAUAUUGCACAAUGGGCGGAAGCCUGAUGCAGUAACGCCGCGUGCGGGAUGACGGCCUUCGGGUUGUAAACCGCUUUCGCCUGUGACGAAGCGUGAGUGACGGUAAUGGGUAAAGAAGCACCGGCUAACUACGUG